rnacentral:rRNA from 1 species
UAGGGAAUCUCCCACAAUGGACGCAAGUCUGAUGGAGCAACGCCGCGUGAGUGAAGAAGGUCUUCGGAUCGUAAAACUCUGUUGUUAGAGAAGAACACGAGUGAGAGUAACUGUUCAUUCGAUGACGGUAUCUAACCAGCAAGUCACGGCUAACUACGUGCCAG